rnacentral:lncRNA from 1 species
UUAAACUAAUAAUUCAUAUUCUAAUUUUAAAGUCUCUAUAAUAUAAAGGUAAAAAUAUAUAAAACUUAUUUGAACUAUAGACCAUGCAUUUUGAUUUAACUAGUCAAUCUUUCAAAAUUUUAACUAUAGACCAUUCCUAGAGUAAGUGGCAAAAGGCUUGAUGGUUGGUAUUCGAGACCCAAGUUCGAAUCCUAGUUGAUUCACAUUUCCAGCUAAGUUUAUUUCUAAAUGAAAUAAACGAAGCGGGUAGCGUGUUAUCUAUCUCUCAAAAAAAAAAAAUCCAACUUUUUCAAUUUGUUUAGUUUAAGUAAUUUGAUAG